AUUGAACGCUGGCGGCAGGCCUAACACAUGCAAGUCGAACGAGUGGCGGACGGGUGAGUAAUGUCUGGGAACCUGCCUGAUGGAGGGGGAUAACUACUGGAAACGGUAGCUAAUACCGCAUACCAUCAGAUGUGCCCAGAUGGGAUUAGCUAGUUGGUGGGGUAACGGCUCACCUAGGCGACGAUCCCUAGCUGGUCUGAGAGGAUGACCAGCCACACAGGAACUGAGAGACGGUGCAGACUCCGACGGGAGGACGCAGGGGGGAAUAUGGCACAAUGGGCGAAAGCCUGAUGCAGCCAUGCGGCGUGUAUGAAGAAGUCAUGCGGGUUGUAAAGUACUUUCAGCGGGGAGGCGUUACCCGCAGAAGAAGCACCGGCUAACUCCGUGCCAGCAGCCGCGGUAAUAC
rnacentral:rRNA from 1 species